UACGUAGGGGGCUAGCGUUGUCCGGAAUCAUUGGGCGUAAAGCGCGCGUAGGCGGCCCGGUAAGUCCGCUGUGAAAGUCCAGGGCUCAACCCUGGAAAGCCGGUGGAUACUGCCGGGCUAGAGUCCGGGAGAGGCGAGUGGAAUUCCUGGUGUAGCGGUGGAAUGCGCAGAUAUCGUAAGGAAGACCAGUGGCGAAGGCGGGUCUCUGGACAGUUCCUGACGCUGAGGCACGAAGGUCAGGGGAGCAAACGGG
rnacentral:rRNA from 1 species